AGAAAAGUAAGCUAAGCCAAGCUAAUGGGUUCAUACCCCAUAAAUAGAGUUAACCUCUCUUCUCUG
rnacentral:tRNA from 1 species